AUUAAACGCUGGCGGCAUGCCUUACACAUGCAAGUCGAACGGCAGCGGGGACUUCGGUCCGCCGGCGAGUGGCGAACGGGUGAGUAAUGUAUCGGAACGUACCUUUCAGUGGGGGAUAACGUAGCGAAAGUUACGCUAAUACCGCAUAUUCUGUGCGCAGGAAAGCAGGGGAUCGCAAGACCUUGCGCUGAUUGAGCGGCCGAUAUCAGAUUAGCUAGUUGGUGGGUAAAGGCCUACCAAGGCGACGAUCUGUAGCGGGUCUGAGAGGAUGAUCCGCCACACUGGAACUGAGACACGGUCCAGACUCCUACGGGAGGCAGCAGGUGGGAAUUUUGGACAAUGGGGGCAACCCUGAUCCAGCCAUGCCGCGUGAGUGAAGAAGGCCUUCGGUUGGU
rnacentral:rRNA from 1 species